AUUGAACGCUGGCGGUAUGCUUAACACAUGCAAGUCGAACGGCAGCAUGGUCUAGCUCGCUAGACUGAUGGCGAGUGGCGGACGGGUGAGUAACGCGUAGGAAUAUACCUUAAAGAGUGGGACAACUUGGGGAAACUCAAGCUAAUACCGCAUAAUGUCUGAGGACAAAAGCUGGGGACCUUCGGGCCUGGCGCUUUAAGAUUAGCCUGCGUCCGAUUAGCUAGUUGGUGGGGUAAAGGCCUACCAAGGCGACGAUCGGUAGCUGGUCUGAGAGGAUGACCAGCCACACUGGAACUGAGACACGGUCCAGACUCCUACGGGAGGCAG
rnacentral:rRNA from 1 species